rnacentral:rRNA from 1 species
UACAGAGGUCCCAAGCGUUGUUCGGAUUCAUUGGGCGUAAAGGGUGCGUAGGCGGCGCGGUAAGUCGGGUGUGAAAUCUCGGGGCUUAACUCCGAAACUGCAUUCGAUACUGCCGUGCUUGAGGACUGGAGAGGAGACUGGAAUUUACGGUGUAGCGGUGAAAUGCGUAGAUAUCGAUAAGGAAGACCAGUGGCGAAGGCGGGUCUCUGGACAGUUCCUGACACUGAGGCACGAAGGCCAGGGGAGCAAACGGG